AACUAUUAUGAAUCCCCGUGGGAUUCAAACUUUCUCCUUAUUUUAGGAAAAAAGUGGGACCCACCUCUUCUGUAAAUGUACAGAAUAUAUUUCUUUAGUGGGGUCCACUAAAUAAUUAUGUUUAGCAGAAUAGGAAACGUUUACACAUAAUUAAAAAUAAUUAAAAAUAAUUAAUGUUUAAUGGAAUAAGAAAUAUUUGGAAGUUAAUUGACGAGCCCAUAAAUGCUAUGGUGUUUCUAUAUAUGUAACGUUUCACAUAAACACAAAUUUUUUUAGAAAAAAUAUACAAUAAUACAUGUCCAAUAAUUUAGGUAUUUGUUCUUAGGUGUCUUAAAAAAUUAAACUCUAUUAUGAAUCCCCGUGGGAUUCAAGCUUUCUCCUUAUUUUAGGAAAAAAGUGGGACCCACCUCUUCUGUAAAUGUACAGAAUAUAUUUCUUUAGUGGGGUCCACUAAAUAAUUAUGUUUAGCAGAAUAGGAAACGUUUACACAUAAUUAAAAAUAAUUAAAAAUAAUUAAUGUUUAAUGGAAUAAGAAAUAUUUGGAAGUUAAUUGACGAGCCCAUAAAUGCUAUGGUGUUUAUAUAUAUGUAACGUUUCACAUAAACACAAAUU
rnacentral:lncRNA from 1 species